rnacentral:rRNA from 1 species
GACGAACGCUGGCGGCGUGCCUAAUACAUGCAAGUCGAACGCUGAAGAGAGGAGCUUGCUCUUCUUGGAUGAGUUGCGAACGGGUGAGUAACGCGUAGGUAACCUGCCUUGUAGCGGGGGAUAACUAUUGGAAACGAUAGCUAAUACCGCAUAACAAUGGAUGACACAUGUCAUUUAUUUGAAAGGGGCAAUUGCUCCACUACAAGAUGGACCUGCGUUGUAUUAGCUAGUAGGUGAGGUAAUGGCUCACCUAGGCGACGAUACAUAGCCGACCUGAGAGGGUGAUCGGCCACACUGGGACUGAGACACGGCCCAGACUCCUACGGGAGGCAGCAGUAGGGAAUCUUCGGCAAUGGGGGCAACCCUGACCGAGCAACGCCGCGUGAGUGAAGAAGGUUUUCGGAUCGUAAAGCUCUGUUGUAAGUCAAGAACGGGGGUGAGAGUGGAAAGUUCACACUGUGACGGUAGCUUACCAGAAAGGGACGGCUAACUACGUG